rnacentral:rRNA from 1 species
UACGUAGGGUGCGAGCGUUAAUCGGAAUUACUGGGCGUAAAGCGUGCGCAGGCGGUUUUGUAAGCCAGAUGUGAAAUCCCCGGGCUUAACCUGGGAAUGGCAUUUGGGACUGCAAGGCUUGAGUUUGGCAGAGGAGACUGGAAUUCCUGGUGUAGCAGUGAAAUGCUUAGAUAUCAGGAGGAACACCAAUGGCGAAGGCAGAUCUCUGGGCCGUAACUGACGCUGAGGAGCGAAAGCAUGGGGAGCGAACAGG